rnacentral:lncRNA from 1 species
UCUGUCAUAGGGUUGAGAUUCUGAGAAAUCCACAAUGUGAUUAUCCUAGAGGACUCGGAUCCAUAAAUAUAUAUUCUCAAUUUAUCCAAAUAUUGUGUCUGUUCAUAAUCAGUUGCAAUUAGAAUUUGAAUUUGUAAAAUAAAUAAGAUUCUUAAGCACAUUUAGUCUCUAAAGAUUCCAAAUUUCAAGCCAAAUAUUCACCUGAGCAUUAUAAGGGAUGUAAUUAGAAAUAAUUUUUAUUAUAUAAGUAGUAAAUUUUGUUGUUAGGAAAACGUAAUUGAAAUAUAUAAAUUUAUAAUUGUGGUCAUACGUGUAAAAUUAAAUUAAAAAGUUAAGUAGGAAUAUUGUGUUUGGACGGGUAAGAGUAUUUCUUUAAUAAGUACCUUCAAAUUUAAGUGUAAUGCAAUAUAAAAAUGUUUAUGUUUAAUUCAUACAGUACUUAACAACUAAGCAUAACAGUAUAGCACAUAUAUAGAGAUAGAGAAGAGUCAAACAUGAACGUGGAGACUAAAGAAUUACACGGCCUAUAUAUAUAUAUAUACAUAGC